GCUAAUGCAAUGAUCAAGAGGGUCAUGGUCUUUUUUUCCAGCGACAAGGUGGUUGGUGCAAACCUUGAAAAAGGCUAUGGUUGUAGCUUGUGAGCUGCCGUCCUGAAGUGAGUAGGGAGCGGCCGGUGACAGCCGUUAUCCUGAACCAAGUGGGGGAUUGUUUCCCAAUUUAGGUGGUACCGCGAGCUGACUCGUCCUAAUU
rnacentral:ncRNA from 3 species